GAUUUCGGGAUUUCACCGGAGACAUCCACAAUACAGGAAACAACUGAUCAGACUGGAACAUUUACAUCAACACCCCAACAGACAAUUUCAUCAACACCAAACACAGUAACUGCUGAGUCAACUGAGACCACAUUUGUGACUGAACCAACCGCUCCAACUCAUUCGGAAACUCCUGAGACUGUAAAGACAACAGCAACACCUGACCCAACCACUCCCAAUGACAAAACAACCACUGAGCCUGUUGAGACAACCACAAUACAGGAAACAACUGAUCAGACUGGAACAUUUACAUCAACACCCCAACAGACAAUUUCAUCAACACCAAACACAGUAACUGCUGAGUCAACUGAGACCACCUUUGUGACUGAACCAACCGCUCCAACUCAUUCAGAAACUCCUGAGACUGUAAAGACAACAGCAACACCUGACCCAACCACUCCCAAUGACAAAACAACCACGGAGUCUGUUGAGACAACCACAAUACAGGAAACAUCUGCUCAGACUGGAACAUUAACAUCAACACCCCAACAGACAAUUUCAUCAACACCAAACACAGUAACUGCUGAGUCAACUGAGACCACAUUUGUGACUGAACCAACCGCUCCAACUCAUUCGGAAACUCCUGAGACUGUAGAGACAACAGCAACACCUGACCCAACCACUCCCAAUGACAAAACAACCACUGAGCCUGUUGAGACAACCACAAUACAGGAAACAUCUGCUCAGACUAGUACAUUAACAUCAACACCCCAACAGACAAUUUCAUCAACACCAAACACAGUAACUGCUGAGUCAACUGAGACCACAUUUGUGACUGAACCAACCGCUCCAACUCAUUCAGAAACUCCUGAGACUGUAAAGACAACAGCAACACCUGACCCAACUACUCCCAAUGACAAAACAACCACUGAGCCUGUUGAGACAACCACAAUACAGGAAACAUCUGCUCAGACUAGUACAUUAACAUCAACAUCCCAACAGACAACAACAUCACCUUCAUCAGGACCUACAACAGAGCCUCUUAUCUGCCAAAAUGGUGGUACUUCCAAUGGAACUGACUGCUUAUGUCUUGAUACAUUCACUGGAGAGUUCUGUCAGUUUGUUAAACCUGUUGUUCAGCCAGAUGAACUUGAGCAAGCAGUGGAAGUUAAUGUGGUGAUCAAUCAGGUAUACAUUCCUGACUAUGAUGAUGAUACAACACCCAAAUACAAAGAAUUGGUUCAAAACUUCACUGAGCGGAUGAAGAAAUAUUACCUGGCAAUUCCCGUACAGUGUAAAGAAGUUGUAGUAACUGAUAUCAGCCCUGGAGGGGAUCAGAUGAGAUUAUCCGCUGAAGCCAUGGUUGUCCAUAUUACACCAAGAGAAAACGGUAUUAGUAUCACACAUGAGGUGAUUUUGAAAAUCCCAAAUAAUGAAAAUGCUACAGCAGCAUAUAACACAGACUUCAUCGCAAUCCAAAACUCUCUUGAAGAGCUUCCAAACUGCACAGAAGGGUCUUCUGAACCUUCAGCAGACUGCCCUUACGAAGUCACACGUCCUCCGACAGUAAAUCCCACAGAAUUCAAUUCCACAGGUC